GAUGAACGCUGGCGGCGUGCCUAAUACAUGCCAGUCGAGCGAACAGACGAGGAGCUUGCUCCUCUGACGUUAGCGGCGGACGGGUGAGUAACACGUGGAUAACCUACCUAUAAGACUGGGAUAACUUCGGGAAACCGGAGCUAAUACCGGAUAAUAUAUUGGACCGCAUGGUUCAAUAGUGAAAGACGGUUUUGCUGUCACUUAUAGAUGGAUCCGCGCCGCAUUAGCUAGUUGGUAAGGUAACGGCUUACCAAGGCGACGAUGCGUAGCCGACCUGAGAGGGUGAUCGGCCACACUGGAACUGAGACACGGUCCAGACUCCUACGGGAGGCAGCAGUAGGGAAUCUUCCGCAAUGGGCGAAAGCCUGACGGAGCAACGCCGCGUGAGUGAUGAAGGUCUUCGGAUCGUAAAACUCUGUUAUUAGGGAAGAACAAAUGUGUAAGUAACUAUGCACGUCUUGACGGUACCUAAUCAGAAAGCCACGGCUAACUACGUG
rnacentral:rRNA from 1 species